CGUUUGGAUGGGCAUUUAGAAAGUCCAUCCAAGCCCCAAAGCCCUUUCACCCUAAAUAGGGGUGUUUGGCAACCAUUCCCAAGGGGCUUUCAAGUGAAAGUUUACCCUUGGGAAUGCUGAAAGCUCAAGGCUGGGGGAGACCAGCCUUGAGCUUUCAGCAUUUUUCGGAAUGCUGAAGGCCUCUUUAAUGAAAAUGGUAAGUUGCCUAUUUUGCCCUCAAAACUUUAUGGAAAAACCACUUUUGCCCAUUUUAAAAACCAAGAAAACCUUAGUUCUCGUUUUUCUUCCCACCCUUCCAUCACUCUCUCCCUCGACCGCUUCUACGCUCUUCGCUCGGUGGGACUCCCUCACCUGAUGCCACCGCCGCUCCACUCGAUUCCUGCCGCAUUGGUCGAGGCCUUCGCCGCCUCUCCCUCUCGAAGGACAAACUAGAAGAUUGGCUACAAAAGGCAAAAAAGCUUCUUCAAUACGAGUUGAAGAACAAAGCUAAAAACUUUGAUUUCACUAGCUAUAUGUUAUAGUGUUAUAGUAUUCUCUCUCUCUCUCUCACAAUUUUGUGUUUCUUCUAAGGCCCUUGACUAUUGUUGGAAUGAACCAAUUUUCCUAGGGAAUAUUCUGUUCAUGCGCUAUUAAUUGUGCUAAUUGUUGAAAAAGUGACGAUUACCUUCAGUUGUUACUUUUAACUUCUCUCAGAUGUAGCCCCCUCCCCCUGCGAUUCAACUGGGUUGGAGUUAUUAUUCUGAUGA